rnacentral:rRNA from 1 species
CCUCAGUAACGGCGAGUGAAGCGGCAAGAGCUCAGAUUUGAAAUCGUGCUUUGCGGCACGAGUUGUAGAUUGCAGGUUGGAGUCUGUGUGGAAGGCGGUGUCCAAGUCCCUUGGAACAGGGCGCCCAGGAGGGUGAGAGCCCCGUGGGAUGCCGGCGGAAGCAGUGAGGCCCUUCUGACGAGUCGAGUUGUUUGGGAAUA